GGGCUGGUAGCUCAGGUGGUAGAGCGUUGCCUUCGCAAGGCAGAGGCCGCGGGUUCAAAUCCCGCCCAGUCCAC
rnacentral:tRNA from 1 species